AUAUAUCUAAAGCUGAGUUUACUGUUUUCAAUUGUUCACUCGGAAGGAGAAAUGGCGCUUCUGCCCUUGAUUUUUUCUUCUAAUUGGAAGUUUGUCUUCGUGUCUCAUACUAUGUUGGGUGGGCAUAUCUGUCUUUCGGCAAUGGAAGGGGACGAAAGGACCUUUUUGUCCUGCCUUUUCUUCUGCAAUUUCAGGUUGUUCUUGGUGUUUGGCACGACGUCGGCUGGGCAUAUGUGUCUUUGCGGAGUUGAAGACGUCGUGGGGCUUAGAAAGACAAAAUAUAUAUAUUAACAACAAAGCUGAUCUGUACUCUUCGGGAAGCCUCCAUCCAAAUCAAGGUUCACUGUUAACUGACCUCAGAGUUGGUGAUCAAGAUCAAGAACAAGAACAGUGACAACUCGUCUCCAUCAAAGUCCAAGCAAUCAAAUAGAAAAAAGGAGGACGGGCCACUUUCAGUUUUUUUUUUUUUUCUGCAAAAGUUUUUGAUAUGCAGAAUAACUACAAAUGCAUACAUGUACCUCAAUGAUAUAAGGGUUGGAAGGGAAAAUGAAAGCACAGAAGUGACUGAGAAAAUUAUUCACUUACUUGAUCAAACUGUCUGAGAAGUCUACUGAUCCAUUUCAAACCAGCCAGCAAAAUUUUUGCUAUUUCAUGUGGGACAAAUAAAGAAGGGGAUUCAUACUUGGUGGAAUGGAAUGAAAGCGAAGGAGCUGUAAAGCGUACCUAUCAUGGUCUUGGGAAGUGGACUGUUGGGGUUGUGCAGUUUGAUACCGCCAAGAAUUGAUUCUUGGCUACUGGCAAUGAGUUCAUGGUUAAAUUCUGGGACAUGGACAAUGUUAACCUUUUGACAAGUACAGAUGCAGAUGGUGGACUGCUGGCUUCUCCUCCUAUUAGAUUUAACAAAGAAGAAAUACUGUUAGCUGUCUCAACAAAUGACAAUGGUAUUAAACUUCUAGCAAAUUCAGAUGGAAUUAGGUUACUGAGAACAGUGGAUGCUUCCAGAGCUGCUUCUGUGGCUGUUGUGAAGGUCUCAGCAGUAGGAACAUUUGGAUUGUCUAACAUUACUGUUGGAACAGGCAUUGGAGAUCGAGCAGCUCCAAUGCCAGGCAUGGUUGGACUGGUGAGUGUCAUGAUUAUCUCUCAUGGGUGACUCAAAUCCCAGAAGAAAUCCAUAUAAAUCAAUGCUAACGUAGCUACACAUGUUGCUGUCAUGAAUUUGUUAUGUGAUGGAAAUAUAAGGAAAAAGAGCAACGAUAGCAGCAGCAACACAUGCAUUAUGGAAAAGGAAACCACUAUAUUGAAGGCUGAAGAGCUCAAUAAGAAGCAUCAACAAGUUGAUCAUAUUCAAUUGAUACAUUAGAUCCCUGGCAGCAGACAAGUUCUAGAACUUUUGAAAGCUACUUCAGACCCAUCUGCCAAUGUUCUCGACAUCGUGCUUUACUUUUCAAGAUAUUAAGUUUAUAGGCGUAACGGAGAGAUUAGGUGUAUUUCAGCAAAGAUAAAAUUGCACCACCAGCGGCAAGAGGAGGACAAAGUACUAGAUGAAGAAAUUGAAGAGGAUGAGAUGUUCUGGAAUCAAGAAGCUCUUAAAGAGGAGGAAGAAGAUGAUAACUAUGAAGUGGAGCUGAAGUUGCUGAUGUGUUCUCAAAUUGUUUACUUUAAUUUCAAGUUUUCUAGCAUUUUAGAGGAAAUGUUUCCUAAGCUGGAUUGAGCGAUGCUGUGAUUUGGUGUUGAAGCAUCUUUCAGUCAUGCAGAAACAAAGAUGCUGAUGAAAAAAGUUGAUCCAUUGAUGAGAGCCAUGGAGCGGAGUCUAUGAAAAUAAAGAGAAAAGCCGUAGCUAAAGAUAAAGAAGCUGCAGCAGCCAAGGUGAAUGCUGACAAAAAGAACAGAAUUAUAAACUCAUCUAAGAGGUUGUAAUUAGUUUUCAACAGCCUCAAUACCAUUCUUUCCUUUUGUUUUCAGUUCAAUUUCGACAGUGCUUUGAACCAAGCCUGCAUUAUAUAUUAGUAACCUUCAGUGAUUUUUUGAGAAUAGCGAGCUUUGUCUUUCUUUAUUUCUCACUUCCAUCAAAAAUGAGGUCACUUUCAGAUUUUCAA